GACGAGGGAUCCUAGCGUUGCUCGGAAUCAUUGGGCGUAAAGCGGGUGUAGGUGGCUUUGUAAGUCAGGUGUGAAAUCCCAGGGCUCAACCCUGGAAGUGCAUUUGAUACUGCGAAGCUUGAGUGUUGGAGAGGUCAUCGGAAUACCUGGUGUAGUGGUGAAAUGCGCAGAUAUCAAGAGGAACACCUGAGGUGAAGACGGGUUGCU
rnacentral:rRNA from 1 species